rnacentral:rRNA from 1 species
GACGUAGGUGGCGAACGUUAUCCGGAAUUAUUGGGCGUAAAGGGUGCGUAGGUGGCCUGACAAGUUAUCAGUGGCAAAUCGAGGCUCAACCUCGUGGAAACUGGUAAUACUGUUCGGCUUGAGUACAGGAGAGGUUAACGGAACUCUAUGUGGAGCGGUAAAAUGCACAGAUAUAUAGAAGAACAUCAAUAAAAGGCGAAGGCAGUUAACUAUUCUGUUACUGACGCUGAGGCACGAAAAGCGUGGGGAGCAAAACGG